rnacentral:rRNA from 1 species
UCAGGAUGAACGCUGGCGGCGUGCCUAAUACAUGCAAGUCGAGCGAUGAGGCCCCUUCGGGGGUACAUCAGCGGCAAACGGGUGAGUAACACGUGGGUGACCUACCCUGAAGACGGGGACAACCCUUGGAAACGGGGGCUAAUACCCGAUGUGCUCGGUCAUUCGGUUGGUCGAGUAAAGGCUGAGGCGCUUCAGGAUGGGCCUGCGGCCCAUCAGCUAGUUGGUAGGGUAACGGCCUACCAAGGCGGAGGCGGGUAGGGGGCGUGAGAGCGCGGUCCCCCACACUGGCACUGCGACACGGGCCAGACUCCUACGGGAGGCAGCAGUAAGGAAUCUUGCGCAAUGGGCGAAAGCCAGACGCAGCGACGCCGCGUGGGCGAAGAAGGCCUUCGGGUUGUAAAGCCCUUUUCCAGGGGAAGAGGAAGGACGGUACCCUGGGAAUAAGUCCCGGCUAACUAUGUGCCAGCAGCCGCGGUAAGACAUAGGGGACGAGCGUUAUCCGGAUUUACUGGGCGUAAAGAGCGUUGAGGCGGUUCCGUAAGUUGGAUGUGAAAGCCCCGGGCUUAACUCGGGGAGGUCGUUCAAUACUGCGGGGCUAGAGGGCAGCAGAGGGAGGUGGAAUUCCCGGUGUAGUGGUGAAAUGCGUAGAUAUCGGGAGGAACACCCGUGGCGAAGGCGGCCUCCUGGGCUGACCCUGACGCUGAAUGCGAAAGCU